rnacentral:rRNA from 1 species
UUCCGGUUGAUUUUGCCGGAAGUCACUGCUAUCGGUGUUCGACUAAGCCAUGCGAGUCAAAUGUUCUUCGUGAACAUGGCGUACUGCUCAGUAACACGUGGACAACCUGCCCUUUGGACGGGGAUACCCCUGGGAAACUGGGACUAAUCCCUGAUAAGUCUCCGUAGCUGGAAUGCUCGGAGACGGAAAGCUCCGGCGCCACAGGAUGGGUCUGCGGCCUAUCAGGGUAGUAGUGGGUGUAGAGUACCUACUAGCCUACGACGGGUACGGGUUGUGAGAGCAAGAGCCCGGAGAUGGAUUCUGAGACACGAAUCCAGGCCCUACGGGGUGCAGCAGGCGCGAAAACUUUACAAUGCGGGACACCGCGAUAAGGGGACCUCGAGUGCUGGCAUACAAUGCUGGCUGUCCAGCUGCCUAAAUAGCAGUUGAUAGCAAGGGCCGGGCAAGACCGGUGCCAGCCGCCGCGGUAACACCGGCGGCUCGAGUGGUAACCGCUAUUAUUGGGUCUAAAGGGUCUGUAGCCUGCAGGUUAAGUCUCUUGUUAAAUCCGGCAG